CUUUGCCGGUGUCCAGUGGGCCGGUGCCGUCUUUGUCUCUUCUGACGGUUUCCCUGAGACGCUGCUGGUAUUGACGAAGGGAUGAAGAGCAAUGGAUGGAGAUCCGGAUGUCGGAUGUGGAGCAGGAAUUCUGAUGAGCUCAGCGGGGGGGGACCACGGCCGGUGAGAUCUGGAGUUGCUGAAGCGACUGACACAAUGGACGGGUUCCGGUUCCAAGCGUGGACCGUUGACGUCGUCCUCGUGAUGUGACCCGGGCGUUUGUGGACUCCCUACCAGGCCGCAAAACAGGAGAAAACAAGACACGGCAGUUAAACUUUCCCAAUGAGGAACCCGGCUGGCUAUCAGAAGACUUCCCCGCCAACCACGAUCAAUCCUCAUAAGCCUGUUUUCUGGCAAAUUCCCCAAAUCCACAAUCAAUACUCCUAACAGCAGCAAACAAAACAGCAUCUCAUAAUGAGCAGAGAAG
ensembl:lncRNA